UACGUAGGUGGCAAGCGUUGUCCGGAUUUACUGGGCGUAAAGAGCGCGCAGGCGGUCGUUCAAGUCGCGUGUGAAAGCCCCCGGCUCAACUGGGGAGGGUCACGCGAUACUGGUCGACUCGAAGGCAGGAGAGGGUAGUGGAAUUCCCGGUGUAGUGGUGAAAUGCGUAGAUAUCAUGAGGAAUACCAGAGGCGAAGGCGGCUACUUGGACAAUUGCUGACGCUCGGGCACGAAAGCGUGGGGAGCAAAAGGG
rnacentral:rRNA from 1 species